AUGGGUGCCCAGCUCCUGGGCCGUGUGAUGCUUUUCCUCCUGGGGGCAGGCCACGCAGCUGCAAAGGUGACCCAGGACCCCAGAUACCUCAUUGCAGAGCCGGGGCGGAGGCUGGUGCUGCAGUGUUCUCAGACCAUGGGCCACGACGCCAUGUACUGGUAUCGCCAAGACCCAGGGCUGCACCCGGAGCUGAUCUACUACUCCAUCAACACUAACUUAACUAAUAAGGGGGAUGCUUCUGAGGGGUACAGCGUCUCCCGGCAAUACAAGGAGAAUUUCCCCUUGACCCUGGAGGCAGCCACCCUGCGGCAGACUUCUCUGUACCUCUGUGCCAGCACAAUGGGAAACGCGUUCCCGAAGUACUUCGGCGCAGGCACCAAGCUGACCGUCAUAGACGACCUGCGUAAGGUCAAGGUGCCCACGGUCAACGUGUUCGAGCCCUCUGAAGCAGAGAUCUUGCACACCCAGAAGGCCACGCUCGUGUGCCUGGCCACCGGCUUCUACCCCGACCACGUGGAGCUGAGCUGGUGGGUGAACGAGAAGGAGGUCACCAGCGGGGUCAGCACGGACCCCCAGCCCUACCAGCAAGACUCCAGCUACUCUCUGAGCAGCCGGCUCAGGGUCUCUGCCAGCUUCUGGCACAACCCGCACCGCCAGUUCCGCUGCCAGGCCCACUUCCAUGGCCUCGGGAGGGAGGAUGAAUGGGACGAAAAAGACGGACCCAAACCUGUCUCCCAGAUCAUCAGCGCCCAGGUCUCAGGCCGAGCAGGCUGUGGCCUCAACUCAGCAUCCUACCAGCAGGGGCUCCAGUCUGCCACCCUCCUCUACGAGAUCCUGCUGGGGAAGGCCACCCUGUACGCCGUGCUGGUCAGCGUCCUGGUGCUGAUGACCAUGGUCAAAAGAAAGGACUCCUGAGCAAGCUUCGCUUCCCGCCAGCGCUUCUGGAGAGCUUUCUCCUGUCUCCACGCCUUCCUCCUGGUGGGAACACAGGGGACCCUCACAGCCGAAACCCCGCCCUG